GAAGAAAGUUGAGGAAAUCCGAAAGAAAACUAGUUUUCAAGAUGUGCCUCUAUUGGUGCUACUGACCCAUGUGGACAGAGCGUGCCCGCAUGUGGAAAAGGACUUGAAGAAGGUGUAUCACAGCUGCUACAUAAAGGAUAUGAUCUACAGAGCUAGCGGGUGUCUGGGCAUCCGACCAUCAAAUGUGAUUCCAGUGAUC